GACGAUGCAUCAGAGACGAACUGACGCCAUCACGGAUUGGAUUGGUAAGUGGGAGAAGUAGGCGUGUCUACCUCAUGUUGAAUGCGGCAAUACAUUUGAGAGAGAUUGGAGGAGUGUCGGUGAUCAUAAAUGCACCGCUCCUGCGCUGAUCACUCUCGCUACUGGCUCCGGAGCAACAUGCUUCUGUUACUAAGUCUGAUCCUUUUCUUCCACUAUGGGAUGCUCGUGACCGUUCGGCAGUCUCCCGAAACAUUUUCUGCAUCGCCUGGAGUCGCGGUGGAGUUGACAUGCACCGCAGAUGGAGGGGGCGGCACUGAUGUCAUGCUCUGGUACAGACAAUACCCGGCAGAUGGUCCACGAAUCCUAGUUUACUCCAUGAACAGCGAGCAUCUUGAUCCCUCUAAACCGGUGGACGGUUUCACGGCGAAAAGACCCAAACCCAAUGUCUUCGACCUGACAUUGGACAAUUUGCGGAAUGGUACCCCCGCAAAAUAUCUCUGCGCCUGGAGACUACACAACGACUCAGAGUUUCGGAAGAUCUGAACAAAAACCCCACAGCGGAUCAGACUCUCGAUAUCCGCCAUCGCACAGUUGCGCAGCAGGAAGUGCCGCUGUUCUCAACCGCCAGACAGCCGGGUGCGAUC